rnacentral:rRNA from 1 species
UACGGGGGGGGGCAAGCGUUGUCCGGAAUUAUUGGGCGUAAAGAGCUCGUAGGCGGCUUGUCACGUCGGGUGUGAAAGCCCGGGGCUUAACCCCGGGUCUGCAUUCGAUACGGGCAGACUAGAGUUCGGUAGGGGAGACUGGAAUUCCUGGUGUAGCGGUGAAAUGCGCAGAUAUCAGGAGGAACACCGGUGGCGAAGGCGGGUCUCUGGGCCGAAACUGACGCUGAGGAGCGAAAGCGUGGGGAGCGAACAGG